GAUUUUUUUCUUAGUGUAUACGAGUUUUUAAAAAGAAAGGAGCAAUAUCAAUCCUCUUGAUAAAAAAAGAGAUUGGUUAUUGCUCCUUUAAUACUAAUUUAAUAGUAAUUUUGCUUACAUAAGCAUAAGUUUUUUUUACUUCAAUUUCAUAAAAAAAUCUGAUUAAUUUAUGAUUAUGUAUUGUUUUUUACGUUUUUGAAUUUUAAUUAGAAUAUCUAGGCUCUGAACAAUUAUUUUUAUUAAUAUUUAAUAUCUAAAAAAUAAAAAAAUUUAAUAUCUAAAAAAGUAAAUCUUAGAGGG
rnacentral:misc_RNA from 1 species